rnacentral:rRNA from 1 species
CCUACGGGAGGCAGCAGUGAGGAAUAUUGGUCAAUGGGCGGGAGCCUGAACCAGCCAAUCCGCGUGAGGGAAGAAGGUACAGCGUAUCGUAAACCUCUUUUGUCAGGGAACAAAGGCGGGGACUAGUCCCCGGCUGAGGGUACCUGACGAAAAAGCCUCGGCUAACUCCGUGCCAGCAGCCGCGGUAAUCCGGAGGAUGCGAGCGUUAUCCGGAUGUAUUGGGUUGAAAGGGUGCGCAGGCGGCCUGUUAAGUCAGCGGUAAAAGCCCGGGGCUCAACCCCGGCGAGCCGUUGACACUGGCGGGCUGGAGUGGGAGAGAAGUACGCGGAAUGCGCGGUGUAGCGGUGAAAUGCUUAGAUAUCGCGCAGAACCCCGAUUGCGAAGGCAGCGUACCGGCGCCACACUGACGCUGAGGCACGAAAGCGUGGGGAUCGAACAGGAUUAGAUACCCCUGUAGUC